AAAACUGUACUUUCAGGGAUCAUUUCUAUCGUUCCUAACUUGAGAAAUGCGUUUCUAAAGUGAUUGGUCUCGCUAACCACGAUGAAGGGUUGUGUUGUGUGAAUAUUCUUCUCUGAGUGUGAAGCGGAUAGAGAUCAAUGAUCAACUUUAUAUGAUCGCUAUUAUUGAUGAUCGUUCUUUGCUUCCUUCAGGAGCAAUGAGGACAGAAAUAUGAUCAGAGU